UGACUCACUCUACAGCAAAAAAUACACAUUCAAGUGGAGACUGAGAGUGAUGAAGAGGCAUCUGACCUCCUGCUGUAGUCAUAUCCCUGCUCAGGAGAGAGCAAGGAAAGGUCACAGGGAGCACAGGGCUGAUAAUGAGUGACUUGAGGAAACUGACCAUACAGCCGAGUCACCUUUUUUUUUCCACAGUUUGCAAUAUUUUGCACUCAGAAUGUCCUUUUCUUCUAGCAUUUAAUAAAAAAAUAAAUUAAAUUGGCUCAGUCAUAUAAAAAAAUCUGGACAUUUAUUGACACCAAGUGAUCUGAAAAACAGAGUUAAUAUUUUUUCCUGUUUUCUUUCAAUGUAUCUGCAGCUUCCGUAGAUCCAGCACAAGACACAGUCACACUGCGAAGAACUGAAUUAUGAUUAAGCUUGUAAGAAUAGCAGAGACAUCUGUCUGUUUUGAGCAAUAGCAAUGAUGAAGAAAGAAUCUGCUGCAGCACAGAGAGCUAGAGAGAGGUGAAAAUGGUGGUGCUUAGUGCCCUGGAUUUUAUGCCCAGAUCUCCCCGACAUCUCACAGAAGAAUAUAUCAGUGGUUCCAGAGCAGUUUUGCUGUCAAAGCAUGAGUGCAGGAAGCAGGUGGGAAAAGCAAACUGAACAGACUGGGAUGUUUCCUUGCAAGACUGCAGAUGGAGGCCAUGUGUGCACGGCACAGGAGCCCAAGCUGACCCAUAAACAAGCUAUUAAGAGGAGGUGUUUUAUACUUAGAGCAGGUUCCUGGUACCUUGAGAGACCUGAGACAUGGACUCGUGAGUUCUUGAUAAUUCAGAAGCAGCUGGAAUUUGCUAAGCAGCGUGGUCUUUUUGAAAGGGGAGAAUACUUCUCUUCCAUUCCUGGAGGGAAUGCAGUCUUGGAUGCUGAGAUCUGCAUGAACUUUUCUGCACACAGCUGAACUUGGCUUGUAUGAAGACAGUACCCAUCUGUUGGGGGAAAGGAAAGGAUCCC
ensembl:lncRNA